rnacentral:rRNA from 1 species
GACGAACGCUGGCGGCGUGCCUAAUACAUGCAAGUAGGACGCAGUUGCGAACGCGUGAGUAACGCGUAGUUAACUCCCUAUAAGAGGGUGAUAACUAGUGGAAACGAUAGCUAAUACCGCAUACUAGUAGAUGGACUUGCGUUGUAUUAGCUAGUAGGUGGGUGAAAGGCCUACCUAGGCAACGAGACAUAGCCUACCCGAGAGGGUCGUCGGCCACACGUGGAAUGAGACACGGCACAGAACUCUACGUGAGGGAGCAGUAGGGGAUCUUCGGAAAUGGGGGGAACACUGGACGAGCAACGCAGCGGGAGUGAAGAAGGUUUUCGGAUCGUAAAGCUAUGUUGGUAACGAAGCGGUACUUAACCAGAAAGGGACGGCUAACUACGUGCCAGCAGCCGCGGUAAUAC